GGACAAACUUUGGAGGAAAUCUAACGGCAAUUAAAGCAUAUUGUGUUUGUACUUAAGUUCAUCCUGGCCGAUAUGACUCCAGAUGUACCAGCCGAAGUACGACUGGCAAUCCGAUGAACACAAUUUGUUGGAGCACAUCAACAAAUAUCAAAAUGACGCAUAAAGAACAUAUAAAUAUUGAAGAUGAAAUGAAGUUUAAGGGGAAUAACGAACAGAAUAAAAGAAUAGAUUAUGUCCUCGUGUUCCCAAAGUCCAAAGAUGUCCAAACCAAAAAGCCGUCGAGCCAUGAAAAGUACAGGAACAGAUUUGAGGAACUAUUAAGGAAAGAAGGUUUUUCCAUCCAGCAUGACACUAUUGAACAACUGGUUUAUGUCAAGCUCCACUGUCCUUUCAAACGGCUAUGUACUGAAGCACAGAGAAUACAACUUAAAAUGCCUAUUAAAGAUUGUCAAAUCAAGCCAGUAGACAAGGGAAUUUCAAGAAUGAUCCAAAAUCGCUUCGUAACCGACACUGAAGUCGAUUUGGUCAGUACUCGAUUGUUUGUUGAUCAAAUUGCCUUGUUUAAAAAUUGUGACGAUCCAGCCACCUUCUUCAGCCCAGCACGAAGGUCAUUUCUUACACACCACAUUUUAAUAAAUAUUGAUAAUCAAAAGAUAAAAAAAUAUGACGAGCAGAAGGAACCGUGGAAGAAAUGUACAAACAACGCCAAGCAAGGCGUUCAAGGUCUUCAGUACCUGCUAAUGGAAAAAAUCUACACUGACGCCUUCAUUUUACACGAGGACUCCAAAUUAUGCCAGGAGAAGGAUACAUGUAUGGAUGGGAACAAGUACAACAGUAAAACCGAAACUGACAUAGAACAGAAUGCCAAGGAAAUCGAGACAAAGGGAAAUGAACUACUAACCUUUGAUCCACUCUCUGAACUGGAUGAUACUUGGACGAAGGUUCUUAAGUUUCAGCCUCUGUGGAAAGUGCGAAACUACUUUGGUGAAAAGAUAGCUCUGUAUUUUGCUUGGUCUGGCGAACUGAUAACGUCUCUGUGGAUACCGAUAAUAUUCGGUCUCAUCAUCUUCAUUUAUGGACUUGUAAAAAGCAUUGAAGUGUCGCUGAAUUCCACUUUCAAUCUUCCGGAGAAUGCUACAUUUACAGAAGAAGUGACGGAGGCUAUGGUUCGUGUUAAGCAAUCGUUUGAUAAUGAUGCCGCCCCAUACUUUGCUCUUGUCAUAUGUGCAUGGGGUACUAUUGUUUUGAAGUUGUGGAAGCGGAAGGAAGGUACACUUGCCUAUGAGUGGGAUGUUGACGAAUUUGAGGAAACAGAAUCAGACAGACCUCAGUAUUAUGUUAAAGACGAUCCUAUAACCAAUGGAAAGGUAUGGUAUUACCCAUUCGAAAAACAACGUCUCAAGUCUUUUGUAUCAGCUUCUCUUGUGCUUUUCAUGAUCUGCGUGGUGUUGGGCAUUGUUGUUGGUGUAAUUGCCUACCGUAUUACCAUGAAUGUUGAAGUGUGUCCGAACAUGGAGCUUCCAGGUUGCAUCUUUCUGACAACAGUCGUGUCCUCUCUGCUAAACGCUGUCUUCAUUUUAGUACUCCAAAAGCUGUAUGACCGGAUGGCUGUAAAGUUGACUGAUUGGGAGAACCACCAGACUGAAACGCUCUACCAUGACGCUUUGAUCAUCAAACUGUUCGCCUUUCAGUUUGUCAACAGUUACGCAUCUUGCUUCUAUAUAGCGUUUGUCAGAGAGCGAGUUGAUUAUUCGUGGCUGUUUGGAAACUCGCAAUACGACAGGUGCUCGGGGACGUGCAUGUCACAGCUCUCCAUCCAAGUUCUCGUGUUGAUGAUCGCCAAGCCAUUCCCCAAGUUCCUCAUAGACUUCAUUUGGCCAUUUCUUAAACAACGCUGGCAACAUCGUCCCUCCUUCUUACGUGUCAAGUGUCCACUGUGGUGUCGAAAGAAUCAAGUGAACCAGUCAUCAACGAAUGAUGCCAUCAGUUCACACUUUCUUGAGAAGAAGUUCUUGACGAACGAAAGACUAAAACCCGACCUGGGCGACUUCACUCUUUCUGAGUACACAGAGAAAGUCAUCAUGUAUGGAUUUCUUAUGCUAUUCGGCGUAUCAUUUUCGUUAGCACCUCUUGUGGCUCUCAUCGUCAUUUGGGUGGAUAUCCACGUUGAUGCCAAACGAAUGUUGUGGUGGUACAGGAGACCAGUUGCCUUCAUUGCUGAAAACAUUGGAAUGUGGUCCACGAUUUUGACGUUUGUUAACUUUGUUGGAAUUCUAUCACAUGCCUUCAUCAUUGCCUUCACGUCGUCUUGGAGUGAAAACUUCUCAAUGCAGAAGAAAUUAUGGAUUGUCAUUAUAUUUGUGCUUAUAUUGUUGGUAUUCAAAUUCAUCUUGACCUAUAUAAUAUCAGAUGUACCUGCCUCACUACAACAGAGGAUGCGAGAUGACAAGAAACAAUAUCUGCAGAAAUUAAACAUAGCAGAGGUAAAUCACCAGAGUGUAAAAUUCCAAAAACCCAAACUGAAGUAACCAAUCACAACUUAGACGCUACAUGGACAUCCACAACAUCCACAACCACGACGACACGGAAUGUUGAUCAAAUUCAUCGGCGAAAGAACUAGAGGCGCCUCGGAUCUUCAUUCACUGGAAUACGUUUCACACCUGCGACUUGCCAGACUUUGCAGAUUAUUUUAAUCUUAUUGGAGGUGGUUUAAUGGUGUUCCUCUACUAGGGACACCACCUCCUUUUUGAAUUUGCCGGAGGUGGUUUAAUCUUGUCCCUCUCCUAGGGACACCACCUCUGGAUAAAUAGAGGAUGCCGAUAUUGGAGGGCUGGGUUGGAUGGGGGGGGGGGGGGUUGUUGGGUGGGGUUUGGGGGAGGGGGGGUGUGCCACCGGAUGUUAGUGGUUAGGCGCUUAGGUGUAGGCGGUUUAGGCCGUAGGGAGAGAUAGGUUUGUCUGGGGGUUAGCCCCCUCUCCCCUUUUUCGCACCUCCCUCCUUCCCCCCCCCCCCCCCUCCCCCCCCACCCCCCCCCCCCCCCCCCCCCCCCCCCCCCCCCAAUCCGGCCACGCUUUAGUUACCGAUAUUUUCGGUACCCCUCUGCUAAAUAAUAGGUCUUCAAAUUUGGUAUUUCCUGUGACUCUUUGAGCCUUUAAACCACCAACCCUCUCCAGACAAGGGCUUAAGUAAUUAAUAUGAAGUAGAUUAUGAGAGCAUGUUAUUUUGGUAGCCCGUUCAAAAUUUGGUGUUUAAUUUUAAGAUUUAUUUUGAAAUUAUAUUAUUUAUAUUUAAAUAGAUUGUUUUGGGAUUACACCAAACAAAUUUAUAUAUAUUUUUUAAUUGUCCCCAUAUUUAUUUAAUUUUUAGAGUAAAUAUCCAAAUUGUCCCGUUAAAUUUCUGGCCCGGAGCAGACCCCUGGCUAUCCAGGACUCGGCCCCGGGGCAGACAUGCUUGAAGCUCUAGUGGCAUAUAAGCAUGUAAAAAUUUACAACCAAGCAACCAACCUACAAGUGACUUGUACAUCAUAAACAGAUACUAACUACGCUGAGAUUAUCUGUAAACAUUUGUUUACAAAUACCAUAUUGAUAUGAUUUAGCUUUUUCAAUAUUAGUAUUGUGAUAUUGUUUGUUGGGAAUGCUCUUUCUUAAAACAUUUUUGAAUUUUGUUUUGAUCUUUUGUGUCAAGCGUAAUCUGUUGUAAUCACUGUGUUUAUGCAGAUAUUUGUGUGAAGAUGUAACAGAGAAGAGUGAAUACAUAUUGUGUUUUUGACAUAUAUAUAUAUAUAUAUAUAUAUAUAUAUAUAUAUAUAUAUAUAUAUAUAUAUAUAUAUAUAUUGGAGUGAUAAGUUACAAAAUCCUUAGAUUAUAAUAUUGAUUAUAGGUACCCAUAUAGUAAUUAGUAUUUGUUAGUCAUGAUCAGGUUGGAAACUUUAAAGUUUACUACAUAAAUGAAUACCGUUAUUAGUUGUGCAUUUAUUAGCUUUUAGAAAGCAUUUCUAUUAGGACAAGUAUAUUUAUCAAUGUAAUAUUGGUGUUGUUUUUGCUUUUUAUUAUAAAACGUAUAUCUGUUUUUCACUAGUGCCAUAUGCCUUUUUGGUGGCUAAAAUACUGUGCUUUUGAGAUUUUAAACUAUGCCUAUUUGUUGACUAACCUGGUGAUUUCGAUAUUUCAAGUUAUAGUUAUUAUACAUGCAGCAACCGAAAAGGGAUCAAAUGAGGCAGGAUAUUCUCACGGUUCGUAAACACCUGAUAUCAUUACUUUUGGAAUUGCUUCAAGAGAGCAUGGCAUCACAGUUAUAUCUAUUGCAAUAAGCCCUGCCCUGUGCUAGUUUUGAUUUAGUAAGCUGGUCUGGAAAUGGCAGUCCUCUUUGUGGCGGUGCAAGAAGGAUGUAGUGUCCAGCAAAGGAUCUCUUUAUGAGUGGCUGUCCUCCUAUAGAGGAGGCACUAGAAUGAGUUUCGUGAAAUUAACCAAUAUUUUGCCAAAUAUCAUUAGACUGCAUAGCGGUUUUAUCGUUCAGAUUUAUAUGGACUUUACAAUAGACAGGACAGUACAGACUAUGACAUUAACGUGCCAAUCAUGGGAUUCUGAGAUGGACAAAAACGGAGUCCAUCAAGGGCGAUAAAUCUUGUGACCCAUUGCGCCUUAGGCAAGCACUCUAGCACGAAGAGAAAUAUUUCUAAAUAGCUUUAACUGGGAAGAUGGGAGAUGGAAGGCCAUUGCGUCCACUUGCCUAACUAAACGUUACCAACUGACCAUUGACCACUGUCCUAGACACAUAGUUGAGGUACGUGUACGUAUUAUAUAUAUUAUAUGCAUUAUAUUGCAGCAUAAUUUAUUGAGUAUUUUUAUUUCUAUAACAAAGGCUUUGUGAAUAUAGUUUUUUAUGAUCUUAUUGUGAGAAAUGUGUAAUAUGUAAGUAAAAGUCCAAAUAAUUUAACAAGCAUGCACAUCUUCCAGUUUUAUCAAAACUAUCCUUCCACAUUCUUCUAAUUUACCUUGUCUUGCUUGUUUUCAUAAAUAUCGUUUUUGUGUAUUGUUUUGUCUUGUUUUGUUUUACCAAAAGUUAUGUUGUUGAAACUAAUUUCCUACAUUAAAAUGUUCCUCAUUUUGAAAAACAUUUAUCCUGAAAGAGUUUACUUUCAAUAUAAUUUCAGUCCGUUUGUCUACAAUAUGGAGUGUGCACAUAACCUUCUGUUUCUCUUAGUGUUGACGUAUUUAUUUUCUUUGAGUUUAUAUAUUACUUUUAAGAAUUGUUUCAUUGUCUUGUCACGACGUGUAUUUAUUAAUUAUCUGCUGUAAUAGUAUAGUACAUUGCAUUUUAGCAUUUCGGACGUUUAUUUGUUAUUAAAACAGCUUUUUAAA
rnacentral:misc_RNA from 1 species